GAUGAACGCUGGCGGCGUGCCUAAUACAUGCAAGUCGAGCGAACGGACGAGAAGCUUGCUUCUCUGAUGUUACCGGCGGACGGGUGAGUAACACGUGGAUAACCUACCUAUAAGACUGGGAUCACUUCGGGAAACCGGAGCUAAUACCGGAUAAUAUUUUGAACCGCAUGGUUCAAAAGUGAAAGCCGGUCUUGCUGUCACUUAUAGCUGGAUCCGCGUCGCAUUAGCUAGUUGGUAAGGUAACGGCUUACCAAGGCAACGAUGCAUAGCCGACCUGAGAGGGGGAACGGGCACACUGGAACUGAGACACGGUCCAGACUCCGACGGGAGGCAGCAGUAGGGAAUCUUCCGCGAUGGGCGAAAGCCUGACGGAGCAACGCCGCGUGGGUGAUGAAGGUCUUCGGAUCGUAAAACUCUGUUAGUGGGGAAGAACAUAUGUGUAAGUAACUGUGCACAUCUUGACGGUACCUAAUCAGAAAGCCACGGCUAACUACGUG
rnacentral:rRNA from 1 species